UGUUCCAGCUGAUAGAAGAUCAUCCAUGGCCGGUUGCACUAUGUUUUGGGGAGCAUGGAGACCAGUAAUGGGACCCGUCGAGAUUUAAGGAUUCUUCCACGAUCACGUGAUCUCGGGUUGCAUUCAUGUGUUAGGAACAUGGAGACCAUAAUGGUCGCACUCGGCUGAAUUAGACUUUCCACCAUGGUCAUGAGCCCUAUGUUUGCUUCUAUGUGUUAAGAGCAUGGAUCACAAU